AGAUGUAUUAAAUAAAACCAAUAUGGAAAAAAAAAGGGGUAAUCCAAAUCAAAUUAAUGUUAUACAUACAACAUAUAUUGCUUUUUAGCUAGGCAUGGUGGUGCACACUUCUAGUCACAGCUACUCGGAUGCUGAGGCAGGGGGAUUGCUUGAGCCCAUGAGUUCGAGGCUGCUGUGAGCUAUGAUCGCACCACUGCACUCCAGCCUGGGCAACAGAGCGAGACCCUGUCUCUAUUAAAAAAAAAUUGUUAACAAUACACAUUGUUCAGUGUAUGUGAAAGUCCAUAUUUACCUAUUAAAAGCCUUAAUUUCAUUUCCUCCACACAUGGGCGUUUCUGGAGCAGUGGACCUGUCUGCCCUGAGCUCUCACCAGGUUGUUCAGGGAGGUUGCCGUCCACAUGUCUACUGCUGAUAGGGUCUUUUCUCCCUCUUUGCCGGUAGGAGGGGUUGGUUCCCGUCGUCGUACACGAAGUUGCUGGAAGAAAAUGAGACAGAAGCAGUGACCGUGCCCACGCCAAGUGAGAAGCAUCAGCACCGUGAACUUGUCUGAGAAUAGCAGUGUUGUCAUCCCCCCACCCGACUACUUGGAAUGCUUGUCCAUGGGGGCAGCUGCCGACAGGAGAGCAGAUUCGGCCAGGACGACAUCCACCUUUAAGGCCCCAGCGUCCAAGCCCGAGACCGCGGCUCCU
rnacentral:lncRNA from 1 species